rnacentral:lncRNA from 1 species
UGUCGGGAGGCCAGAAUUGAAACAGGGCAAAGAAUGCGGGAAAGACUUCUCUUUGGAAAAUGAUAUGAGGUCUUGAGAUGAAGGAGCUGUGAAGACACUU